ensembl:lncRNA
CGGACAACGAUUGUGAUGAGUGUGGCUUGGUUUUUCACACUUGGGAUUUAAUUGACAUUUGAUCAUGUGUUUACAGUGUCACAUAAAAAUAUUAUGUUAUUGACACAUGUUGGACAAUAACAUAAUAUUGGCGUGAAAAGUCACGUACGCAACUUUCAGCCCCGUUUUGUGCGUACGCAACGGUUAUAAAUGAGACCCCAGGACUGAUAGAACAAGAUUUUAGAGCGAUGUUUGGUGAGCAGACUGCCAACAAGUUCAUGGAGAGGUGGCCUACCACUUUCAAAGCAGGAGUCAUUAAGGAAAGCCAUGGACUGGUCCCCUCCACAGACCUUCUUGAUUUAAUGCACAACGCUGAGACAUCUACUGAAGUUGAAAAAGGCUGGGACAGUGACAUGUCUGCCAUCAUACUGCUGCUACAUCUGCUACCACCAUCUGCACAGGGACGAAAGAGGCCAGGGAAGAUAUCUGCAUCUAAUGCAGUUUAUCACCUCAUCAAAUUCCAAAAGACGGGAACAAGUGUGCAGCAGCAUCUUGACAACAUCCCUCAAAGCAGUCAGCCCUACCUCCUUGCUCACGGACCCACAAAAAGCAGCAUUCACUCUUUCUUCAUUGCCAUCGACAAGCAUGCGCUUCCAUGCCAAGCCACCAGCUCGGUUGGAGCCCUGGAUGAGCUCUUCAAGGCCCACUAUGUGUUUGGUACAUCUUACAGUCCUGCCUUGAACAACUUUUUCACUUUUCUGCAAACUUCCAUUUACAACAUUGACGUGGGGAAAACUAAGGAAACGCCAAGAAUUGCAGAGUUGCGAGCGAGAAUGGUGCGUUAGGCACUCUUGAAAUUAAACAAUGAGAUGCUUUCUUUGCAUCAAUGUCUUUUGUGAAGCAAACAAUCUAGUAAAGCACCUCAAAGUGAUACAUGGACUCUGUACGGGAAGGACUCUUUAUCUUCAAUGUGGCCAAGUGGGAUGCUCACGUUUUUUCAAUAGUUUUUCUGGUCUUAGGAAGCAUCUGAAUAAGUGUCAUGUGAAUAGUGCAUGUGAUGUUAUUGUUACAAAUGUCAUGUGGAAAGAAUGACACCACUAUGUAUGUUGUCCCAUAUUGUUAUCUCUGAGGAGUUAUCAGGAAAUAAAUGGUGCUACAGUACCUGAUGGUGUGUAUUGUCUUAUAUUAUAGCAGUUAAAAACAUUACUAUUUCAUUAAAAUAAAA